UACGAAGGGGGCUAGCGUUGCUCGGAAUUACUGGGCGUAAAGCGCACGUAGGCGGUUUUUUACGUCGGGGGUGAAAUCCUGGAGCUCAACUCCAGAACUGCCUUCGAUACUGGAAGACUUGAGUCCGGGAGAGGUGAGUGGAACUGCGAGUGUAGAGGUGAAAUUCGUAGAUAUUCGCAAGAACACCAGUGGCGAAGGCGGCUCACUGGCCCGGUACUGACGCUGAGGUGCGAAAGCGUGGGGAGCAAACAGG
rnacentral:rRNA from 1 species